rnacentral:lncRNA from 1 species
GAUCUUGACCAUGACAAAAAGGGUACAAAUGGGUUAUGACCGAAAGCGUGCAAAUGAGUUAUGACCGAAAGCGUGCAAAUGGGUUAUGAUCGAAAGGGUGCAAAUGGUCGUGUUUGAAAGAUUGAAAAUGGUCGUGACUAAAAGGUUGCAAAUGGAUCGUGACCGAAAAAUGGCAAACGGGUCGUGACCAAAGGGUGCAAAUGGUCGUGACCGAAAGAUUGCAAAUGGGUUGUGACAAAAAAAUGCAAACGUGUCGUGACCAAAAGGAGUAAACAGAUCUUAACUGAAAGAACGUGAAUGGAUCGUGAAUGAAAGGGUGCAAACGAGUCGUAUCCAAAGGAGUGCCAAUGAAUCAUGACCGAAGAGGUAAGAAUGGAUCGUGACUGAAAAAGUCUGAACGAGACAUCACUGAGAGAAUGUUAAAGUUCAACCAUGGUGUUGGUGAUAUAAGAGUAUGACUUUUUC